AACGAACGCUGGCGGCAGGCUUAACACAUGCAAGUCGAACGCCUGUAGCAAUACAGGAGUGGCAGACGGGUGAGUAACACGUGGGAACGUGCCCAAAGGUACGGAACAACUCCGGGAAACUGGAGCUAAUACCGUAUGUGCCCGAAAGGGGAAAGAUUUAUCGCCUUUGGAUCGGCCCGCGUCUGAUUAGCUAGUUGGUGGGGUAAUGGCCUACCAAGGCGACGAUCAGUAGCUGGUCUGAGAGGAUGGCCAGCCACACUGGGACUGAGACACGGCCCAGACUCCUACGGGAGGCAGCAGUGGGGAAUAUUGGACAAUGGGCGCAAGCCUGAUCCAGCCAUGCCGCGUGAACGAUGAAGGCCUCGGUUGUAAG
rnacentral:rRNA from 1 species